GAUGUCAGUGUCUGUGACAUGCUGGAAUCUGAGAAAUGUCCCCCAGUGUCUGUUUGAUUGAGAUAUGGGUUUGUUCCUCUCCAGAGAGAUCCUGACAUAUGUCAGCACCGUGUGCAGGCUGGAUAAACACAGAGUGACACACACGCACAUGCACAUAUGCAAUGUCAAGGCAAAGGCUCAAUAAAAGGUAGGAAAAGGUCUUUGACUGCAGCUCGGUGCCGCUGCCGCACAUUCUCCUCCUGCUCCUUGAUGAUCUCCUGUGCGGAUGAGCGCAGUGCCACAUUCUGCGGCGUUGCUGUAGACGUGUCGAAGGGGAUCUGGACUGUACUGGGGGUCCUGGGCCCUUUCACCUUGGCCUUCUUCGGACAACCGUCCUGUUUAAACAGAAAAGUAGAGUCAGGGACUGGGCAGCAGCGUGCUGUGUGGUGCUGAAAAUCUUGAAAAAGAAAAUGCUGGAGGAACUCAGCAGGUCUGGCAGCAUCUGUGCAGAUCCUGCAGAAAUUGGAAAAUGGAUCCGGCCUCAUGUUCAUUUCCCUAGCAAGUUGGACUUUACCUGAUGUCUCAGCACCAAUAAUGGUUUCAGGGUGUUUAGACAGACUUUCGGCUUUUCAGGUGGAUAUUUGGUUCUCUCGUGAUCUGCUGCAGUUUGCUGAGUAUCCCGAUCAGCCUGUUUAUCGCUCAGGCCUGAGGCUUCCUGUACACCGCAUUUGGUUCUCUUAUUUCUUGUUGUUGUAGUUUCUGGAUGCCUCUGUCUGUUUUUCUUAAUUUUUGCUAACGUGGCAUUCUGAGAGCUGUGUCGGAUUUUCUUCUCUCUCCCAGUAUCUAUCGAACUUCCCAGAGAGCCCUGUCUGGUUUUUUUGUCUCUCCUGGUAUCUAUUAAAUUUCUCAGAGAGCCCUGCUUGGUUUUUUUGUCUCUCCUGGUCUUUAUUAAACUUUCCUGAGAGCCCUGUCUGGUAUCUUCGUCUCUCUGGGUAUCUACUGAACUUUCCUUCUGACUCUCUCUAGAUUGUUCCUCUAUCUGUGACGCUGUUUGCUGUUGAUCCUCUCCAGACUGUUCCUUUCCUUCUGUCACUGCUUCCGGUUUACCCCCUCUGGAUUGUUCCUCUCCCUGUGUCACUGUUUCCGGUUUACCCCCUCCGGAUUGCUGUUCUCUCACACUGUCUGAGGAGUGUUGCUGAGGGUCUGGUUUGGAGAGACUCUGUAUUGGCUGUGGACGCAGAGCUAAGAAGAGGUUGAGGCUUCCCAGCAGCAGUGAUCUGUGAAAGAGACCAAAUACAAUCAUUAAACUUGAUAACUGGACAUAAAUCAAAUGUUCCUCACUGUCUUGCAGCAGGGAACUCCUUCAAUGCUGUGAUUCCCAAUCUCGGCCUGCUAGGCUUCUAUAUCAAAACCUUCAUUUCAUAACAAUCAACAAACACGAGUCACUUCUGCGACAUCCAUGUCGAUGAAGAGACUCUAAUAAAAUCACAAUAGCAGCAUGUGUGGCUGCACAUGGCUGAACCCAUCUGGAGUGUUUGAGACCCUAUCGCUGGGAACUACAUUCACUGUUGGGCACUGCUCGUCAGGAAGGAUAUAUUGGUCUUGGAGAGGAUGCAGUGUGUGCAGAUUCACAGAAUGACAGCAGGGCUUAAAUAAUGUAAUAAAAU